UACGUAGGGUCCGAGCGUUGUCCGGAGUUACUGGGCGUAAAGCGCGCGCAGGCGCGACGCGCGCCCGGCGUGAAAGCCCCCGGCUCAACCGGGGAGGGUCGUCGGGGACGGCGUCGCUUGAGGACGGCAGGGGCUGGUGGAAUGCCCCGGUGUAGUGGUGAAAUGCGUAGAGAUCGGGCAGAACACCCGUGGCGAAGGCGGGUCUCUGGGCCGAUACUGACGCUGAGGAGCGAAAGCAUGGGGAGCGAACAGG
rnacentral:rRNA from 1 species